rnacentral:tRNA from 1 species
GGAGAGGUGGCAGAGUGGUUGAAUGUACCGGUCUCGAAAACCGGCGAGGUCGCAAGGCCUUCGAGGGUUCGAAUCCCUCCCUCUCCG